rnacentral:rRNA from 1 species
UAAACUAGGAUUAGAUACCCUAUUAUUAUAAAUGUAAAUUUAAAAUACUUAAUUAGUAUUAGUUAUUUUCUUGAAAAUUAAAAAAUUUGGCGGUAUUUUAGUCUUUUCAGAGGAACCUGUCCUGUAAUUGAUAAUCCACGAUUAUAUAUACUUUAAUUUUUAGUUUACAUAUCGUUGUAGAUUGAAUAUUUUAAUAGAAUUUGAAUAUUUAAGAUUUUUUAUUAAAAAAUAAAUCAGAUCAAGGUGUAGCUUAUAUUUAAGAAGAGGUGGGUUACAUUAAAAUUAUUUUAGGAUAUUUUUUUUAAAAAGAAAUUGAAUUUGGAUUUGAUAGUAAUUUAAUAUAUUUAUUUAAAAUGAUUAUAGCUCUAAAAUAUGCACACAUCGCCCGUCGCUCUUAA